rnacentral:rRNA from 1 species
GACGAACGCUGGCGGCGUGCUUAACACAUGCAAGUCGAACGGUGAAGCGCCUUCCUUUUUGGUGGGUGUGGAUGAGUGGCGAACGGGUGAGUAACACGUGAGUAACCUGCCCCCUUCUUCUGGAUAACCGCAUGAAAGUGUGGCUAAUACGGGAUAUUCUGGGUCUGUCGCAUGAUGGGUCUGGGAAAGAUAUUGUUUCGGUGGGGGAUGGGCUCGCGGCCUAUCAGCUUGUUGGGGGGGUGAUGGCCUACCAAGGCGGUGGCGGGUAGCCGGCCUGAGAGGGUUGACGGUCACACUGGGACUGAGACACGGCCCAGACUCCUACGGGAGGCAGCAGUGGGGAAUAUUGCACAAUGGGCGCAAGCCUGAUGCAGCGACGCCGCGUGAGGGAUGGAGGCCUUCGGGUUGUGAACCUCUUUCGCCAGUGAAGCAGGCCUGCCUCGUUUGUGGGUGGGUUGACGGUAGCUGGAGAAGAAGCGCCGGCUAACUACGUG